CAUUUCAGAUUAGUGCUGACAGAGUUCAACAAAAAUCAAGUGCUUCUACCCAACAGGACACUAGGGCAAGUCUGUGGAGAUGUGUUCCUGACAAAUAAACAGCUUGUAAAUUGAGAUGUUAAUGAAUGGAGUCAUGUGGAUUGCUGUGAUGUUUUUAUCUGCUGUUUGGACUCUCAUUCUGACGGCACCCAUUCACUGCAGAGGAGCCAUUGGUGCUCUCUCGAGGGACAGAAAAAAAAGGACGUAUUAAGAGGAGUGAGAGGUGUAGAUGGACUGCCAUCAUGUGGCCCUGCUGCCCACAGCUUCUGCAGAGAGAGGAGAAACUGACCCACAGACGCUCACCUUCUGCAUGGCGGGAAAAUGGCAUCACUCCGAACUACGGCACCAAAAAAAGCAUUUGAGCCCCAGAGAGCUGACACUUUCAAGCCCUCAAGCAAGGCCUCUGGACUGAUACGGUGAGCUGAGAAAUGUGAAUUAGAGAUGAAUGCUUUUGAACACUGAACACAGACACUUCUGACUUAUAUAAGAGGCAUACUGUCCAUGCUAGAGGUGCCUUUAUGAAUCAGUUUGUGUGUGUGUUAAUGUGUGGCUCUCAGGUGUUUAUCCUCUAGUGUUAAAAUGCAGCUGUUCCUGCUUUUAAAAUGUUUCCAUCAUUCGCACAAUGCUAUUUAAUGUUAAGCCAUCCAGUAGGGUCAUAACUCUUGCCACUUGAAAAGAAAGUUGUUCAUGUUUGACGAGUUUUCCAUUUGUGUACGUUGUGAGAAUCGAAAGCUUUUGUAUUAAUGUGAAUAUUCUGUAUGCGAGUACGGUGGAUACUGUGGCAUUUAUGAAGGUCAAAAGCUUGUGUGGGGGUUUCCAGUUGACAUCAGUUAACGUUCAUCAUUCUAGUUUAAAAGAGAAGCGAAAUUCAAUAAUAUUUGAUAUCCUUACAAAGAUGCUGCAGUAUUCCAUUAGUCAGAAUAAUCAGAUAGCUUCAUAAUCAUUUUAAUGUAACAGUAUAAAAAGGACAUACUAUUAGGCCAGUCACUGGUCUGAGAUUAAACUGUAGGAUAAUAGAUCCAGCCACCAUGCAUUCACCAAGAU
ensembl:lncRNA